GACAGAGGUGCCGAGCGUUAGGCGGAAUCACUGGGCUUAAAGCGUGUGUAGGCGGACUUCUAAGUACCUUGUGAAAUCCCACGGCUCACCCGUGGAACUGCUCGGUAUACUGGUCGUCUUGAGCCUUCUAGGGGCGAGUGGAACAAAUGGUGGAGCGGUGAAAUGCGUAGAUAUCAUUUGGAACGCCAAUGGUGAAAACAACUCGCUGGGGAAGUGCUGACGCUGAGACACGAAGCCAGGGAGCGAACGGG
rnacentral:rRNA from 1 species